UACGUAGGGUGCGAGCGUUGUCCGGAUUCAUUGGGCGGAAAGAGCGUGUAGGCGGCCAGGUAGGUCGGUUGUGAAAACUGGAGGCUCAACCUUCAGAGGUCGACCGAAACCAUCUGGCUAGAGUCCGGGAGAGGAGAGUGGAAUUCCUGGUGUAGCGGUGAAAUGCGCAGAUAUCAGGAAGAACACCCGUGGCGAAAGCGGCUCUCUGGAACGGUACUGACGCUGAGACGCGAAAGCGUGGGGAGCGAACAGG
rnacentral:rRNA from 1 species